GACGAACGCUGGCGGCGUGCUUAACACAUGCAAGUCGAACGGAAAGGCCCUGCUUUUGUGGGGUGCUCGAGUGGCGAACGGGUGAGUAACACGUGAGUAACCUGCCCUUGACUUUGGGAUAACCUCAGGAAACUGGGGCUAAUACCGGAUAGGAGCUCCUGCUGCAUGGUGGGGGUUUGAAAGUUUCGGCGGUUGGGGAUGGACUCGCGGCUUAUCAGCUUGUUGGUGGGGUAGUGGCUUACCAAGGCUUUGACGGGUAGCCGGCCUGAGAGGGUGACCGGCCACAUUGGGACUGAGAUACGGCCCAGACUCCUACGGGAGGCAGCAGUGGGGAAUAUUGCACAAUGGGCGGAAGCCUGAUGCAGCAACGCCGCGUGCGGGAUGACGGCCUUCGGGUUGUAAACCGCUUUCGCCUGUGACGAAGCGUGAGUGACGGUAAUGGGUAAAGAAGCACCGGCUAACUACGUG
rnacentral:rRNA from 1 species